UCGCCGAAUGAGUUUCUGACCUAUCGAACUCGAGACGGCGGGGUAGAGGCCCGCCGCGGUAACGACGGGUAACGGGGAAUCAGGGUUCGAUUCCGGAGAGGGAGCCCGAGAAACGGCUACCACUUCCAAGGAAGGCAGCAGGCGCGCAACUUACCCUAAUCUCGAUUCGAGGAGGUAGUGACAAGAAAUACCGAUGCGGGACCCUACGGGUGCCGCGUUCGGAAUGAGUACGAUUCGAACCACCUAACGAGGAACGAUCGAGGGCAAGUCUGGUGCCAGCAGCCGCGGUAAUUCCAGCUCCAAUAGCGUACGUUAAAGUUGCUGCAGUUAAAAAGCUCGUAGUUGAACGUUCGGGUUCCGCGGGACGGGGCCGCCCCGCGAGGGACGGCGCCGCCCCGGGGCUCGUGAUAUCUCAUCUCGCCGCCCGUCGCGAGGCGGACGGAGGGAUGGAUGAGGUUACCUGGAAAAAAAUCGGGGCGAUCUAGGCGGGCGAACCUCGCCAACGAACGAUCGGACAUGGG
rnacentral:rRNA from 1 species